rnacentral:tRNA from 1 species
UCCCUCAUAGUCCAGUGGUUAAGACUCUGCAAUUCCACUGCAGGAGGAACAGGUUCAACUCCUGGUCAGGGAA